rnacentral:ncRNA from 1 species
UUGAGCCGGAUGCGGUGAAAGUCGCACGUCCGGUUCUGAGAAGAGGGGGAGGGAGCAAUCUCUCCUUCUUAUUCGAC